AACUUCUGGCACGGACAAAGGUCCUUUGUGGCCGUGCCAAAUUCUCCCGGCAGCAAAACUGUUACUGUGCACAGAGGGCAGUGGCUCUGCCCUGUGACAAAUUGCAGCAGCCACGGGUGCUGCAGGGAGGAAGAGGAAGCUCAUUUGAUCCCGUGAUCUGCGGGGGAAAAUGGAGUUUUGUGCCUGCCUGAUAGGUGCCUGUAGGGACACUUAAACUGUUUGUACCCACCCGAAACCUCAGCGUCCUCUGUGGCAAGACAGACCUUUUCCCCAUAAGUGUCAUGCAGCUGACAGGUCUACUGGUGAAGCUGAGGGUCACAGCCAGGGCAGAAAUUCUUUAAACAAAACAGAGUCAAAUAAUCAGGGAAGUUUGGAGCUAUUUGCAAGAUCUAUCAAGUUGGUUGCUCACCCUGUCAAAAGAAGCCACCAUCUGGGACAACA
rnacentral:lncRNA from 1 species